rnacentral:rRNA from 1 species
AACGAACGCUGGCGGCGCGCCUAAUACAUGCAAGUCGAGCGAGAAGACGUAGCAAUACGUUUGUAAAGCGGCGAACGGGUGAGGAAUACAUGGGUAACCUACCCUCGAGUGGGGAAUAAACUAGCCGAAAGGUUAGCUAAUACCGCGUACGCUCCUUGGACUUCGGUUCAGGGAGGAAAGCGAUACCGUGGGUAUCGCGCUCUUGGAUGGGCUCAUGUCCUAUCAGCUUGUUGGUGAGGUAACGGCUCACCAAGGCUUCGACGGGUAGCUGGUCUGAGAGGACGAUCAGCCACACUGGCACUGCGACACGGGCCAGACUCCUACGGGAGGCAGCAGUAAGGAAUACUGCGCAAUGGGCGAAAGCCUGACGCAGCGACGCCGCGUGGGGGA